AGAGCGGCGUGNACGCGCGAUGUANUANGUGACCGNAGCGUAAUCCUGCCAUGGNUAGNUNNGGGAUAACGCUUCGGAAACGGACGCCUAAUACCGCAUACGCUCCUACGGNAGAAAGCAGGGGACCUUCGGGCCUUGCGCUAUCAGAUGAGCCUACGUCGGAUUANCUAGUUGGUGGGGUAAUGGCUCACCAAGGCGACGAUCCGUAACUGGUCUGANAGGAUGAUCAGUCACACUGGAACUGANACACGGUCCAGACUCCUACGGGAGGCAGCAGUGGGGAAUAUUGGACAAUGGGCGAAAGCCUGAUCCAGCCAUGCCGCGUGUGUGAAGAAGGUCUUCGGAUUGUAAAGCACUUUAAGUUGGGAGGAAGGGCAGUUACCUAAUACGUGAUUGUUUUGACGUUACCGACAGAAUAAGCACCGGCUAACUCUGUGCCAGCAGCCGCGGUAAUACAGAGGGUGCAAGCGUUAAUCGGAAUUACUGGGCGUAAAGCGCGCGUAGGUGGUUUGUUAAGUUGGAUGUGAAAUCCCCGGGCUCAACCUGGGAACUGCAUUCAAAACUGACUGACUANAGUAUGGUAGAGGGUGGUGGAAUUUC
rnacentral:rRNA from 1 species